rnacentral:miRNA from 1 species
UUUUGCAAAGUAUCACAGCCUGU